UAACACGUGGGCAACCUGCCUGUAAGACUGGGAUAACUUCGGGAAACCGGAGCUAAUACCGGAUAAUCCUUUCCCUCACAUGAGGGAAAGCUGAAAGACGGUUUCGGCUGUCACUUACAGAUGGGCCCGCGGCGCAUUAGCUAGUUGGUGAGGUAACGGCUCACCAAGGCNACGAUGCGUAGCCGACCUGAGAGGGUGAUCGGCCACACUGGGACUGAGACACGGCCCAGACUCCUACGGGAGGCAGCAGUAGGGAAUCUUCCGCAAUGGACGAAAGUCUGACGGAGCAACGCCGCGUGAGCGAUGAAGGCCUUCGGGUCGUAAAGCUCUGUUGUCAGGGAAGAACAAGUACCGGAGUAACUGCCGGUACCUUGACGGUACCUGACCAGAAAGCCACGGCUAACUACGUGCCAGCAGCCGCGGUAAUACGUAGGUGGCAAGCGUUGUCCGGAAUUAUUGGGCGUAAAGCGCGCGCAGGCGGUUCCUUAAGUCUGAUGUGAAAGC
rnacentral:rRNA from 1 species